rnacentral:rRNA from 1 species
CUAGUAACGGCGAGUGAACCGGGAAGAGCUCAAAUUUGUAAUCUGGCCCUUGGGUCCGAGUUGUAAUCUAUAGAGGCGUUUUCCGCGCCGGACCGUGUCCAAGUCCCUUGGAAUAGGGUAUCAAAGAGGGUGACAAUCCCGUACUUGACACGACGACCGGUGCUAUGUGAUACGUCUUCGACGAGUCGAGUUGUUUGGGAAUGCAGCUCAAAAUGGGUGGUAAAUUCCAUCUAAAGCUAAAUAUUGGCGAGAGACCGAUAGCGAACAAGUACCGUGAGGGAAAGAUGAAAAGCACUUUGGAAAGAGAGUUAAACAGUACGUGAAAUUGUUAAAAGGGAAACGAUUGAAGUCAGUCGUGUUGGUUGGAUUCAGCUCGGUCUCCGGGUGUAUUUUCUUCCAACGGGUCAACAUCAGUUUGGAUCGGCGGAUAAAGAUGGAGGGAACGUGGCUCUCUCGGGAGUGUUAUAGCCCUCUGUUGCAUACGCUGGUCUGGACUGAGGCAUGCAGCUCGCCUUUAUGGCCGGGAUUCGUCCACGUCGAGCU